rnacentral:rRNA from 1 species
GAUGAACGCUGACAGCAUGCUUAACACAUGCAAGUCAACUGUGGCGGACGGGUGAGUAACGCGUAAAGAACUUGCCUCACAGCUAGGGACAACAUUUGGAAACGAAUGCUAAUACCUGAAACUGUGAGAGAGCUUUCCGUCCCAUUAGCUAGCUGGAGAGGUAACGGCUCACCAAGGCGAUGAUGGGUAGCCGGCCUGAGAGUGUGAUCGGGCACAAGGGGACUGGGACACGGCCCUUAGGCCUCCGUGAGGCAGCAGUUGGGAAUAUUGGACAAUGGACCGAAGUCUGAUCCAGCAAUUCUGUGUGCACGGUAAAGUUUUCGGAAUGUAAAGUGCUUUCAGUAGGGAUGCGGUACCAACAGAAGAAGUGACGGCUAAAUACGUGCCAGCAGCCGCGGUAAUAC